rnacentral:rRNA from 1 species
UACGUAGGGUGCGAGCGUUAAUCGGAUUUACUGGGCGUAAAGCGAGCGCAGGUGGUUUAAUAAGUCUGAUGUAAAAGGCAGUGGCUCAACCAUUGUGUGCAUUGGAAACUGUUAGACUUGAGUGCAGUAGAGGAGAGUGGAAUUCCAUGUGUAGCAGUGAAAUGCGUAGAUAUAUGGAGGAACAACGGUGGCGAAAGCGGCUCUCUGGACUGUAACUGACACUGAGGCUCGAAAGCGUGGGUAGCAAACAGG